UGCUGGAGGUAUCAGAAGUGCGAAUGCUGACAUAAGUAACGAUAAAGCGGGUGAAAAGCCCGCUCGCCGGAAGACCAAGGGUUCCUGUCCAACGUUAAUCGGGGCAGGGUGAGUCGACCCCUAAGGCGAGGCCGAAAGGCGUAGUCGAUGGGAAACAGGUUAAUAUUCCUGUACUUGGUGUUACUGCGAAGGGGGGACGGAGAAGGCUAUGUUAGCCGGGCGACGGUUGUCCCGGUUUAAGCAUGUAGGCUGGUUAUCCAGGCAAAUCCGGAUAAUCAAGGCUGAGGUGUGAUGACGAGGCACUACGGUGCUGAAGUAACAAAUGCCCUGCUUCCAGGAAAAGCCUCUAAGCAUCAGGUAACAUCAAAUCGUACCCCAAACCGACACAGGUGGUCAGGUAGAGAAUACCAAGGCGCUUGAGAGAACUCGGGUGAAGGAACUAGGCAAAAUGGUGCCGUAACUUCGGGAGAAGGCACGCUGGUGUGUAGGUGAAGUCCCUGCGGAUGGAGCUGAGACCAGUCGAAGAUACCAGCUGGCUGCAACUGUUUAUUAAAAACACAGCACUGUGCAAACACGAAAGUGGACGUAUACGGUGUGACGCCUGCCCGGUGCCGGAAGGUUAAUUGAUGGGGUUAUCCGUAAGGAGAAGCUCUUGAUCGAAGCCCCGGUAAACGGCGGCCGUAACUAUAACGGUCCUAAGGUAGCGAAAUUCCUUGUCGGGUAAGUUCCGACCUGCACGAAUGGCGUAAUGAUGGCCAGGCUGUCUCCACCCGAGACUCAGUGAAAUUGAACUCGCUGUGAAGAUGCAGUGUACCCGCGGCAAGACGGAAAGACCCCGUGAACCUUUACUAUAGCUUGACACUGAACAUUGAGCCUUGAUGUGUAGGAUAGGUGGGAGGCUUUGAAGCGUGGACGCCAGUCUGCGUGGAGCCAACCUUGAAAUACCACCCUUUAAUGUUUGAUGUUCUAACGUUGGCCCCUGACCGGGGUUGCGGACAGUGUCUGGUGGGUAGUUUGACUGGGGCGGUCUCCUCCCAAAGCGUAACGGAGGAGCACGAAGGUUAGCUAAUCCUGGUCGGACAUCAGGAGGUUAGUGCAAUGGCAUAAGCUAGCUUGACUGCGAGCGUGACGGCGCGAGCAGGUGCGAAAGCAGGUCAUAGUGAUCCGGUGGUUCUGAAUGGAAGGGCCAUCGCUCAACGGAUAAAAGGUACUCCGGGGAUAACAGGCUGAUACCGCCCAAGAGUUCAUAUCGACGGCGGUGUUUGGCACCUCGAUGUCGGCUCAUCACAUCCUGGGGCUGAAGUAGGUCCCAAGGGUAUGGCUGUUCGCCAUUUAAAGUGGUACGCGAGCUGGGUUUAGAACGUCGUGAGACAGUUCGGUCCCUAUCUGCCGUGGGCGCUGGAGAAUUGAGGGGGGCUGCUCCUAGUACGAGAGGACCGGAGUGGACGCAUCACUGGUGUUCGGGUUGUCAUGCCAAUGGCACUGCCCGGUAGCUAAAUGCGGAAGAGAUAAGUGCUGAAA
rnacentral:rRNA from 1 species